rnacentral:misc_RNA from 1 species
GAUGAAGAACGUAGCGAAAUGCGAUACGUAAUGUGAAUUGCAGAAUUCAGUGAAUCAUCGAGUCUUUGAACGCACAUUGCGCCCCCUGGUAUUCCGGGGGGCAUGCCUGUCCGAGCGUCAUUGCUGCCCUCAAGCCCGGCUUGUGUGUUGGGUCUCGUCCCCCUUCCCGGGGGGACGGGCCCGAAAGGCAGCGGCGGCACAGCGUCCGGUCCUCGAGCGUAUGGGGCUUUGUCACCCGCUCUGUAGGCCCGGCCGGCGCUUGCCGAUCAACCAAAACUUUUUUCCAGGUUGACCUCGGAUCAGGUAGGGAUACCCGCUGAACUUAAGCAUAUCAAUAAGCGGAGGA